rfam:Aneurinibacillus migulanus strain DSM 2895 scaffold5, whole genome shotgun sequence.
CUCUUAUCAAGAGCGGUGGAGGGACUGGCCCGAUGAAGCCCGGCAACCAUUAAGCGAAGAUACAUUCUCGCUUAAACGGUGCUAAUGCCUGUGGAAUGAUUGUUCCUGGCGAUGAGAG